AUUGAACGCUGGCGGCAGGCCUAACACAUGCAAGUCGAACGAGUGGCGGACGGGUGAGUAAUGUCUGGGAAACUGCCCGAUGGAGGGGGAUAACUACUGGAAACGGUAGCUAAUACCGCAUACCAUCAGAUGUGCCCAGAUGGGAGUAGCUAGUUGGUGGGGGAACGGCGCACCAAGGCGACGAUCCCUAGCUGGUCUGAGAGGAUGACCAGCAACACUGGAAAUGGGACACGGUGCAGACUCCUACGUGAGGCAGCAGUGGGGAAUAUUGCACAAUGGGCGCAAGGCUGAAGCAGCCAUGCCGCGAGUAUGAAGAAGGCCUUCGGGUUGUAAAGUACUUUCAGCGGGGAGGCGUUACCCGCAGAAGAAGCACCGGCUAACUCCGUGCCAGCAGCCGCGGUAAUUC
rnacentral:rRNA from 1 species